rnacentral:rRNA from 1 species
UCUCGCUAUUAGAUGAGCCUAAGUCGGAUUAGCUGGUUGGUGGGGUAAAGGCCUACCAAGGCGACGAUCUGUAGCUGGUCUGAGAGGAUGAUCAGCCACACUGGGACUGAGACACGGCCCAGACUCCUACGGGAGGCAGCAGUGGGGAAUAUUGGACAAUGGGCGAAAGCCUGAUCCAGCCAUGCCGCGUGUGUGAAGAAGGCCUUUUGGUUGUAAAGCACUUUAAGUGGGGAGGAAAAGCUUAUGGUUAAUACCCAUAAGCCCUGACGUUACCCACAGAAUAAGCACCGGCUAACUCUGUGCCAGCAGCCGCGGUAAUACAGAGGGUGCAAGCGUUAAUCGGAAUUACUGGGCGUAAAGCGCGCGUAGGUGGUUAUUUAAGUCAGAUGUGAAAGCCCCGGGCUUAACCUGGGAACUGCAUCUGAUACUGGAUAACUAGAGUAGGUGAGAGGGGAGUAGAAUUCCUGGUGUAGCGGUGAAAUGCGUAGAGAUCUGGAGGAAUACCGAUGGCGAAGGCAGCUCCCUGGCAUCAUACUGGCACUGAGGUGCGAAAGCGUGGGUAGCAAACAGGAUUAGAUACCCUGGUAGUCCACGCCGUAAACGAUGUCUACCAGUCGUUGGGUCUUUUAAAGACUUAGUGACGCAGUUAACGCAAUAAGUA